UACCGUGUAGAAUCUCUCAGCAGCAGUAAAAGUGGCAGCCAUAAAAGUGUCAGCCACAAAAUCAGUAUGACACCUUCCACCCUCCAGAAAAUCUUGUCGCCUUGGAACUAGCCACAGAAUGUCCAGGUUACUGACAACAAACAAGAUAUCAGUCGCUGCA